rnacentral:rRNA from 1 species
UACGUAGGGAGCAAGCGUUGUCCGGAAUCAUUGGGCGUAAAGAGCGCGUAGCGGUCCGGUAAGUCGGUUGUGAAACUGGGGGCUCAACCCUCAGAGGCCGACCGAUACUGCCGGCUAGAGUCCGGAAGAGGCGAGUGGAAUUCCUGGUGUAGCGGUGAAAUGCGCAGAUAUCAGGAGGAACACCGAUGGCGAAAGCAGCUCUCUGGGAACGGUACUGACGCUGAGGCGCGAAAAGCGUGGGGAGCGAACAGG